UGUGGUACAAGUCUUUUUUUAUACAUAUAAGACAUAUAAGUAAAUUAUCAUUUAAAUGUAUACCAAAACUCAUUGGGGCUUGCAUAAAUCGUGAUUUUACCAUGGAUAAAAUAUUCCUCAGGGUAAAAGAUAUCACAUAAAGGGCCUACCCGUGGUAAAAUCACGAUAUAUUCAAGCCCCCAUGAACCAUUUUUUAACUUUGACAUUUCUGAAAUUGUCAAAAACAUAUCCUUUUAAAAACAUUUAUCCCGCAAAAAAAAAUUAAAAUAGGAUAUAUUGUAGAUAAUAACAAAAAGAAGGAACAUCGGAUACCGAAAAAAAAACACUAUGUAAAAUAAACAAUAAUGGGGCGUCAAGUAUUUUGAAGAAUAACUGUCAUAAUCAAAACUAUGGAAAAAAAACUCAAAUCGAUCGUAUGAUAGGUUAAGGACAAGUGUGUUUAUACGUAAUCUUUUGUCAGUUAAACUAUAGGCGGGAAUCUAGAGAACCACGUGUUAAAAAAAAAGAUUUUUAUAAUUUUUCAUUAUGAUCAAAUUAAUCUAUUUGGACGAAUCUUCCAGUGUGUGAUCUAAAAAGUCGUUGAAUAAUUUAUUUAACAUAUUUAAUCGAAAUUCAAUGAUUGAAAAUAACCAGUCCCAAAAGGUUAGUUCGUCCAGUCGUUUUUAUUGGACAUCUCUUUAAUGAAAUAUACGAACAUUCGCAAACUGUUUACGUUACUCUAUUUCUCUUCAAUAGGACACGAACCAGUUGUUCCAAGUUUUCGUUUGUAGUUAUGGUGUAUAUGUAGAUAAGAUAUUCGGUUUCCUGUUUAAAUUGUUUUACACUAGUCAUUUUGGGGUUCUUAAUAGUUUGCUGUUUGGUUUGGGCUAAAGCCCUGUGUUGAAGGCCGUUCUAUGACCUGUUUAUCCUCCAAAUAAAUAAUCCCUUAAACGAGGGACUGUCACUCAGACAAUUGGUCAUUUUACUGAUGAAGAAAAGAAAAAAGAAAAACUUUUUAAAUCAAAAUGGGAAUUGAUCGUAUCUAAAACAACAUUCCACUUAUUUUAUUAUAUCCUGAAUAACAAUAGUCCAUAUGUAAAUAAAAUGCUUAAUAAAGGAAGUGUCCGAAUCAAAGAAACACAAAUGUAUAUCACACUAUCCUGCAUUGGUUCAAUACCAUGAAGGAACUGCUUGGAUACUGGUGACCAUAAUAUUGCAACCAAUUACAGCAAACUAGCGCCUGAAAACAUAAAACAAAAACAGCAGAAACUAUUCUAUAAUAUACUAGAUUAUGGAGUGUGUGUCCGAGCGAGAACUUCUCUUGUACAUAACUUUAGGAAUAUUUAUCAAAAGUAUAGGGGAGGGUUGAGAUAUCAUAAACAUAUUUCACCCCGCUGCAUUUUUGCGCAUGUUCCAAGUCAGGAACCUCUGGCCUUUGUUAGUCUUGUAUUAUUUUUAAUUUUAGUUUCUUGCGUACAAUUUAGAGUUUAGUAUGGCGUUCAUUAUCACUGCACUAGUAUAUAUAUUUGUUUAGGGGCCAGCUGAAGGACGCCUCCGGGUGCGGGAAUUUCUCGCUGCAUUGAAGACCUGUUGGUGACCUUCUGCUGUUGUCUGUUCUAUGGUCGGGUUGUUGAUUCUUUGACACAUUCCCCAUUUCCAUUCUCAAUUUUAUCAUUUAGGUUGUAUGGGGGUUUUAAAUAGUUAAGGUGGUACCUACUGUACCACUACAGGGAGAUACAUUGUAACUCUGUAAAAUCAGUUAAACGUUCUAAUUAUGUUGUGUUGUUAAAGGAAUAUUAAGCUUCUCAAUGAUCAAAAUUAGUGUUUGUCAAACUGCUAUAUAACCAGUGUAAUUUUUCUGAGAAAUUCUUUGGUUCAAAUUUUUUGAAAUUUUUAUAUUUUUUUCAAAGGGUCAAAGUAAAUACUUUGUCAAAAUUUUAUGAAAAUUAAACGUCCCAAAUUAAUUUAAGUGAAGGUGUUGGGUACCACCUUAAACUUUUUUCUACAGCACCGGCUUCGUUGUCGACAGCAAAUAAACAAGUAAUAAAAUGUACACACAUCAACAGCUGAAACCCCCAAAACCUUGAGGUGAACACAGGAAGGAAACGAAGUUCCUGCUUCUUGCAAGACAGCCGUCAUGUUAACAUUUUAGCAGUUGAUAAAUAAUUGUAAUGUCAUACUACAAUUGGUAAAUCAAGUUUUAUACAUUUUUUUUAUCAAUAUUGUCAAACCUAUUAUUGUUUGUUUACUCGCUCGCCCUUACUCAAGCUUCACCUCAAACAUUUGAAAACUAAAUUAUUUUUGUUACAUAUUGACCUUCAAAUUAAAAUGCUACAUAUUUCUAGCAGGAGUAAGGUUAGCAAGCCUUUAAAUUAAUAAAUGCACUGUGCUUUUCAAAAGUCUGAUGCAAACAUAGAUUAUGAUUGAUACUAAAAUGAGUACACCUGUCCUAUACCAGGAAUACAUUUUAAAAUACAAAAUAUUGCUACUAUUUAUAUGAAUUGGUAAUCUAGAAUUAACUGAAUUUGAUUGAAUUUUCAUAAUGUGCUUUUGUGUAAAAAAAUGCGAUUAUACAUCAGUACGCCUGACAACUCUUAUGAAAACUCUCAAAUUAGAUGAAGUUGUUGACUUCAUUUCAUAUAUGAUGAAAUGGUAAUAUUUUCCUCAAUCCUAUUGUCCAUAUCAUAAACUUUGGUAGAUGAUGGGGUUGCUUUGUGUUGCGGCUUCCCGAAGCAAACAGUCUUCUUUUUGUUGCAGAUAAAAAGCUAUAUGAACAUUUAAUUCGUUGCAUACAUUAGCUAACUCCAUCGUUUUUUUCUCUUCUAUUGUAUGUUGAUCCGCUUCUCCAAUAUGCACGAUUGGUUAAACCCAGUCACUUAAUAAUUAUUGCAACAUGUCCAAUAUCACUGCACAGAGGUUUUUAAUGUAUGCACUAUACUAUUAGUUUUAGUUUUUAAUACCUCAAUUUAAGGCGUAUUAUACAUUUUGACCUAAGUGCUUAAGACUUUAAAUAACAGUUUUUCACUUUUCUGCAUGGUAGAUUUUGUGUACAUCAUGGAGACAUACAAACAUGCCUUCCAAUACUAUGAUGAAGUGUAAACAUGUUUGUAUUCGGAGUAUUAUAUUUGAAAUUAUUGAUAAUUGCGUAUAUAAAAAAAGGUAAAAUUGAUUUCUGAAUGUGUUCACAAGUAUCAUAAUGUAGCGUCAACAAUUAACUUCCCAAUAAAAGCAGGCAUACGACGCUACUUGUAGGGUAAGAACAAACUUAAUCUUAAACGAAUAAUUCUUG
rnacentral:lncRNA from 1 species